rnacentral:tRNA from 1 species
GCCAGUGUGGCUUAGUGGUAGAGCAUUGGUCCACUCACCGAAGGGUGGUGGGUUUGAUUCCUAGUCAGGGGCA